rnacentral:rRNA from 1 species
CAAUAGCGUAUAUUAAAGUUGUUGCAGUUAAAAAGCUCGUAGUUGAAAUUCUAGACAACGGCCGCGAUUGUUUCAAUCGCAGGCUUGAGUCUAUUCUCACGAAGAAGCUAUCGCUCAUUAACUUGGGUGGUAGCGGAGACGUGUCGUUUACUGUGAACAAAUUAGGGUGUUUAAAGCAGACCUCUGUUUGCAUACAUUAGCAUGGAAUAAUUAGAUAUGACUUUGGUUGUAUUUUGUUGGUGACUGCCAGAGUAAUGAUUGAUAGGAACUGUCGUGGGUAUUCGUAUGAGCAUGUCAGAGGUGAAAUUCUUGGAUUUUGAUCAGACGAACUACUGCGAAAGCAUUUACCAAGGAUGUUUUCAUUAA